GACGGAAGGUGCAAGCGUUGCUCGGAAUUACUGGGCGUAAAGCGUGCGCAGGCGGUUUUGUAAGUCUGUCGUGAAAGCCCCGGGCUCAACCUGGGAAUUGCGAUGGAGACUGCAAGGCUUGAAUCUGGCAGAGGGGGGUAGAAUUCCACGUGUAGCAGUGAAAUGCGUAGAGAUGUGGAGGAACACCGAUGGCGAAGGCAGCCCCCUGGGUCAAGAUUGACGCUCAUGCACGAAAGCGUGGGGAGCAAACAGG
rnacentral:rRNA from 1 species